GAUGAACGCUGGCGGCGUGCCUAAUACAUGCAAGUCGAGCGAACGGACGAGAAGCUUGCUUCUCUGAUGUUAGCGGCGGACGGGUGAGUAACACGUGGAUAACCUACCUAUAAGACUGGGAUAACUUCGGGAAACCGGAGCUAAUACCGGAUAAUAUUUUGAACCGCAUGGUUCAAAAGUGAAAGACGGUCUUGCUGUCACUUAUAGAUGGAUCCGCGCUGCAUUAGCUAGUUGGUAAGGUAACGGCUUACCAAGGCAACGAUGCAUAGCCGACCUGAGAGGGUGAACGGCCACACUGGAACUGAGACACGGUCCAGACUCCUACGGGAGGCAGCAGUAGGGAAUCUUCCGCAAUGGGCGAAAGCCUGACGGAGCAACGCCGCGUGAGUGAUGAAGGUCUUCGGAUCGUAAAACUCUGUUAUUAGGGAAGAACAUAUGUGUAAGUAACUGUGCACAUCUUGACGGUACCUAAUCAGAAAGCCACGGCUAACUACGUG
rnacentral:rRNA from 1 species